GGGGAUGCAAGGCAUAGACAGGAAGCCUUUCUCUAUUGAUGCAUGUCGAGCACGGACGUAAUCUCGUAAAAAUUCGUUCACAUGUUAAUUGCAAAAUUAGCUUCCAAGGUGAAAGAUUCUGUUUCUCCAUACUUCGGUAUGAAGGACUUUGCUUUCGCUCCAGCUUUCGCUUAGGCGUGGUUGGCGUCUCUCUCAUAGACUUCCGAUAUAUGAGUAGAGGUGUAAUAUUAUCGGGACUAAGGAAAUAUCCGCUCGCAUACUUCCCUAACAAUCUAGAGCUCGAUUGGAUAAUAUUUUGCUCAUUUAAGAAUUAUUUAAUUUAAACCAAAAAAUGUGCUACACAUGUAGACUUCCUUGGGAAAACUUUCUGCACACGAGUUCAAUUCUCGUCAUCUCCACAC
rnacentral:tmRNA from 1 species